GGAGCAAACAGGAUUAGAUACCCUGGUAGUNCACGCCGUAAACGAUGAGUGCUAGGUGUUAGACCCUUUCCGGGGUUUAGUGCCGUAGCUAACGCAUUAAGCACUCCGCCUGGGGAGUACGACCGCAAGGUUGAAACUCAAAGGAAUUGACGGGGGCCCGCACAAGCGGUGGAGCAUGUGGUUUAAUUNGAAGCAACGCGAAGAACCUUACCAGGUCUUGACAUCCCUCUGACCGCUCUAGAGAUAGAGUUUUCCUUCGGGACAGAGGUGACAGGUGGUGCAUGGUUGUCGUCAGCUCGUGUCGUGAGAUGUUGGGUUAAGUCCGGCAACGAGCGCAACCCCUAUUGUUAGUUGCCAUCAUUUAGUUGGGCACUCUAGCGAGACUGCCGGUAAUAAACCGGAGGAAGGUGGGGAUGACGUCAAAUCAUCAUGCCCCUUAUGACCUGGGCUACACACGUGCUACAAUGGCUGGUACAACGAGUCGCAAGCCGGUGACGGCAAGCUAAUCUCUUAAAGCCAGUCUCAGUUCGGAUUGUAGGNUGCAACUCGCCUACAUGAAGUNGGAAUCGCUAGUAAUCGCGGAUCAGCACGCCGCGGUGAAUACGUUCCCGGGCCUUGUACACACCGCCCGUCACACC
rnacentral:rRNA from 1 species